GUAGGUGGCAAGCGUUGUCCGGAAUUAUUGGGCGUAAAGCGCGCGCAGGCGGUUCUUUAAGUCUGAUGUGAAAGCCCACGGCUCAACCGUGGAGGGUCAUUGGAAACUGGAGAACUUGAGUACAGAAGAGGAAAGCGGAAUUCCACGUGUAGCGGUGAAAUGCGUAGAGAUGUGGAGGAACACCAGUGGCGAAGGCGGCUUUUCUGGUCUGUAACUGACGCUGAGGCGCGAAAGCGCGGGGAGCAAACAGGGAUUAGAUACCCUGGUAGUCCACGCCGUAAACGAUGAGUGCUAAGUGUUAGGGGGUUUCCGCCCCCUUAGUGCUGCAGCUAACGCAUUAAGCACUCCGCCUGGGGAGUACGGCCGCAAGGCUG
rnacentral:rRNA from 1 species